AUUGAACGCUGGCGGCAGGCCUAACACAUGCAAGUCGAGCGGAUGAAGGGAGCUUGCUCCUGGAUUCCGCGGCGGACGGGUGAGUAAUGCCUAGGAAUCUGCCUGGUAGUGGGGGAUAACGUCCGGACACGGGCGCUAAUACCGCAUACGUCCUGAGGGAGAAAGUGGGGGAUCUUCGGACCUCACGCUCUCAGAUGAGCCUAGGUCGGAUUAGCUAGUUGGUGGGGUAAAGGCCUACCAAGGCGACGAUCCGUAACUGGUCUGAGAGGAUGAUCAGUCACACUGGAACUGAGACACGGUCCAGACUCCUACGGGAGGCAGCAGUAGGGAAUAUUGGACAAUGGGCGAAAGCCUGAUCCAGCCAUGCCGCGUGUGUGAAGAAGGUCUUCGGAUUGUAAAGCACUUUAAGUUGGGAGGAAGGGCAGUAAGUUAAUACCUUGCUGUUUUGACGGUACCAACAGAAUAAGCACCGGCUAACUUCGUG
rnacentral:rRNA from 1 species